rnacentral:ncRNA from 1 species
AAACAGGCGUAGAACGGAAAGAGUAUUUACCUCGGAUUUGCCAGAGAGUGAAUGCAUUGGCUGAAAGCAUUCAUCAAAUGAGCGGUAAAGAAGUGCGUCCGGGAGCCUGCCUGCUGAAUCCAGUAAGCAGGCACGUAUCAUCUGCGUUAAAGAUGCAUAAGGGCUGGAAUGAAUUGUAUCAUUCCUUCAGUAGAGUGGAACCGCGGUGAAACGUCUCUAUA